rnacentral:rRNA from 1 species
CCUACGGGAGUCAGCAGUGAGGAAUAUUGGUCAAUGGUCGUAAGCCUGAACCAGCCAAGCCGCGUGAGGGAUGAAGGUUCUGUGGAUCGUAAACCUCUUUUGUCAGGGAACAAAGACCGGGACGCGUCCCCUUUUGUAUGUACCUUAUGAAUAAGCAUCGGCUAACUCCGUGCCAGCAGCCGCGGUAGUACGGAGGAUGCGAGCGUUAUCCGGAUUUAUUGGGUUUAAAGGGUGCGCAGGCGGCCUGUUAAGUCAGCGGUCAAAGCCUGUGGCUCAACCACGGACUGGCCGUUGAAACUGGGCGGCUGGAGUUUGUGAGAAGCAGGCGGAAUGCGCGGUGUAGCGGUGAAAUGCAUAGAUAUCGCGCAGAACCCCGAUUGCGAAGGCAGCAUGCCGGACCAAAACUGACGCUGAUGCACGAAAGCGUGGGGAUCGAACAGGAUUAGAUACCCGAGUAGUC